CUGACAUCUGGUAACCCUAACCCAAGGUGGAGCAAAGUGGGACCAUACAAACUUUUUGCCAGAGACCUGCAAAAUCUGGCACCUGGAAGGGAACUAGAGAGUGAGGUUUUGAAUGCAUUCAUUCAUGUCAUCAUUCAAAAGUUACAACAGGAAAGUUUGAAAAGGUUUUAUCUUGUUGACUCCUUUGCAAUGACUGCUCUGUGGCAUGGAUCAUGCCGUGGAUUAAAGAAGGUUGACCCAAUGGCCUACGAUGUCCUCUUAGGCCCUGUGUGUGACAACAGACAUUGGACACUUGUGGUGAGAACUUCACACAUUUGC